AGUGCGCAGGCGCCGGCAAGAUGGCGGGAGGGGUGCGCCCGCUGCGAGGCCUCCGCGCCUUGUGUCGCGUGCUGCUCUUCCUCUCGCAGUUCUGCAUUCUGUCGGGCGGUGAAAGUACUGAAAUCCCACCUUAUGUGAUGAAGUGUCCAAGCAAUGGUUUGUGUAGCAGACUUCCUGCAGACUGUAUAGACUGCACAACAAAUUUCUCCUGUAUCUAUGGGAAGCCUGUCACUUUUGACUGUGCAGUGAAACCAUCUGUUACCUGUGUUGAUCAAGACUUCAAAUCCCAAAAGAACUUCAUCAUUAACAUGACUUGCAGAUUUUGCUGGCAGCUUCCUGAAACAGAUUACGAGUGUACCAACUCCACCAGCUGCAUGACGGUGUCCUGUCCUCGGCAGCGCUACCCUGCCAACUGCACGGCGCGGGAUCACGUCCACUGCUUGGGUAGGUCAGAGUUCAAGGACAUUUGUCAACAAAAUGUUUUUCUCUAAGUUUAUUGAAGGGACUUUAACCAGAAAUUUGAGAGUCAAAUUACUUAAUUAGAAACAUUUAUG
rnacentral:sRNA from 1 species